UAACGAAUAUUCCGCAAUGCGCGAAAGCGUGACGGAGCAAUGCUGCGUGCAGGAUGAAGCCUUUCGGGGUGUAAACUGCUGUCAGGGUACAGGAACACAAUGACCAUACCCAAAGGAAGGGCCGGCUAACUUCGUGCCAGCAGCCGCGGUAAUACGAAGGGCCCGAGCGUUAAUCGGAAUCACUCGGCUUAAAGCGUACGUAGGCGGAUACGCAGGCACCUUGUGAAAUCCCUCGGCUCAACCGAGGAACUGCAGGGUGAACCGCGUGUCUUGAGACAAGUAGGGGCUGCCGGAACGCUAGGUGGAGUGGUGAAAUGCGUUGAUAUCUAGCGGAACGCCAAAGGAGAAAUCAGGCAGCUGGGCUUGUUCUGACGCUGAGGUACGAAAGCGUGGGGAGCGAACGGGAGUAGAUACCCCCGAAGUCC
rnacentral:rRNA from 1 species